AGGGAGGCUUUUUUGUAAGUGUUGAGGGAGAUGAAAUCCCUUCCUGAGGUGCUGAAUCAGUCCGAGCUUGGAAGGCAUAAUUAGCCUCUAGUGAUGGGAGAUUUGAUUUUGCCUUGGCAGAUGAUGAUCGAGGAUUAACAGUAAAAAAAAUUAUACCCCUCUUGGAUCAGGUUGGAGAUGGUUGGUGUUGGUGGAUUAAAUUCAGAUGAGUAUAUAUUGUGCAACAAUAACUCCUUGCCUUGGAUUGCCAGAAAGUGCAUCCGGAUCGCCAAGUUCCGAGAGUUUUUUGAUUGCUAGAAUGGCGAUAGGUUCUUGAAAGCCAAACUGACGCUAUCAUGUCUUUUUCCGCAGGUUGCUCCGGUUAAAAGAGUUUGCUAAGGGGUAGGGAUGUUGAGAUCCAAAUGAUGCAGUGGAAGGGGCUUGCUUUGAAGAGGGGCUGUUGAGAACCGAUUAGUGGAGAGGGUCAAAUGUGGUUCUUUUGCUUGGCUUGGGAUUUGUGGGUUUGUCUGAGAUAUUGGCAGUUUGGGGUUCUCAGCUCGUAACCAUGGAACGAAGGAAGAUUUAUGAGAAUAGAUUUUAGAAAAGUGUAGAAAAUUUGAGAAUGAUCUAAUCUUCCACAAGCAUAGCAAAAAUCUAACAACCUUUCGUAUUUGAAAGAAACCCAAGUCUCUAAGUUGUAGGCUCUUGGGAGAGUGAAACCUUGUUUCAGUAGAAACGUGAUGUUAAUCUCAACUUUUAUCCUGAUAAAUUCCUACAUGUAAUUCCAAAUUGGAUAUCUUCUUCUAACUCUAGUAAGUUGCCCAAAGCUUUUCUAAUACAUGUAGCAUUGUCAUGAGUCAUAUGGUCCAAUGGGUGGCCAUGUAUUAGCACAAGAAAAGCUAAGUGGUUUAGACAAAUUUCCUACAAUGUAGAACCAGGUGGCCACGGUUUAAGGAUCAGCAAGUGUCUUUCAAAGUUCCAUAAGGCUUGGUUGAGAACUCUGUGUUUGUCUUGAGGGGAUUGGAAAGUGAAUAAGAACAAAUUUUCUUUCAGGUCUUCUAUUAAGAAUUUUAAUAUGAAAAUCCAUACAGUUUUGAUGCUUGCAUAAAUUGCAAAUUUGUUUAAAGGGCGUGUUGUAACUAGACGCGCUACCAAUGCUAGCUCUGAUAUUUUUAUUUUUAUUUUUAUUUUUUUUUCUUCUUUCACUGCCAAUUCUAGCUUGAGAUCUUACCGUGCGAGAGUUUCAGUUUGUGAUAUCAGGAAUCCAUUUCCAAUUUAGGUGGAGAUUGUAACUGGGUUUUGAGUUAUGAUUUUAACAUAAAGGGGACAACUCUAUAAAGGAGUAGGGGUUCACUGGGGAGUGAGGAGAGACCAGAGAGAGAGAGGUUCAAUUCUAUCAAGAAUUUUACUUGCUUGAAUUGGAAACAUAUACAACUAUUUAAUAUUACCAAACCUUUCAUUUA